UACGUAGGGUGCAAGCGUUAAUCGGAAUUACUGGGCGUAAAGCGCACGUAGGCGGCUUUUUUAAGUCAGGGGUGAAAUCCUGGAGCUCAACUCCAGAACUGCCUUUGAUACUGUCGGGCUAGAGUCCGGAAGAGGCGAGUGGAAUUCCUGGUGUAGCGGUGAAAUGCGCAGAUAUCAGGAGGAACACCGGUGGCGAAGGCGGUUCUCUGGGCAUUACCUGACGCUGAGGAGCGAAAGUGUGGGGGAGCGAACAGG
rnacentral:rRNA from 1 species